CGCGGGGUAGAGAAAUGGCAUCUCGCAAGGCUCAUAACCUUGAGAUUGUGGGUUCGAAUCCCACCCCCGCAACCA
rnacentral:tRNA from 1 species